rnacentral:rRNA from 1 species
AACGGCCGUACCAUGCUGAAUAUACCGGUUCUCGUUAGAUCACCGAAGUUAAGCAUCAUUGGGCGCGGUCAGUACUUGGGUGGGUGACCACCUGGGAACAC